rnacentral:rRNA from 1 species
CAUAGGUUAAUGAGGCGAACCGGGGGAACUGAAACAUCUAAGUACCCCGAGGAAAAGAAAUCAACCGAGAUUCCCCCAGUAGCGGCGAGCGAACGGGGAGCAGCCCAGAGCCUGAAUCAGUGUGUGUGUUAGUGGAAGCGUCUGGAAAGGCGCGCGAUACAGGGUGACAGCCCCGUACACAAAAAUGCACAUACUGUGAGCUCGAUGAGUAGGGCGGGACACGUGGUAUCCUGUCUGAAUAUGGGGGGACCAUCCUCCAAGGCUAAAUACUCCUGACUGACCGAUAGUGAACCAGUACCGUGAGGGAAAGGCGAAAAGAACCCCGGCGAGGGGAGUGAAAAAGAACCUGAAACCGUGUACGUACAAGCAGUGGGAGCACGCUUAGGCGUGUGACUGCGUACCUUUUGUAUAAUGGGUCAGCGACUUAUAUUCUGUAGCAAGGUUAACCGAAUAGGGGAGCCGAAGGGAAACCGAGUCUUAACUGGGCGUUAAGUUGCAGGGUAUAGACCCGAAACCCGGUGAUCUAGCCAUGGGCAGGUUGAAGGUUGGGUAACACUAACUGGAGGACCGAACCGACUAAUGUUGAAAAAUUAGCGGAUGACUUGUGGCUGGGGGUGAAAGGCCAAUCAAACCGGGAGAUAGCUGGUUCUCCCCGAAAGCUAUUUAGGUAGCGCCUCGUGAAUUCAUCUCCGGGGGUAGAGCACUGUUUCGGCAAGGGGGUCAUCCCGACUUACCAACCCGAUGCAAACUGCGAAUACCGGAGAAUGUUAUCACGGGAGACACACGGCGGGUGCUAACGUCCGUCGUGAAGAGGGAAACAACCCAGACCGCCAGCUAAGGUCCCAAAGUCAUGGUUAAGUGGGAAACGAUGUGGGAAGGCCCAGACAGCCAGGAUGUUGGCUUAGAAGCAGCCAUCAUUUAAAGAAAGCGUAAUAGCUCACUGGUCGAGUCGGCCUGCGCGGAAGAUGUAACGGGGCUAAACCAUGCACCGAAGCUGCGGCAGCGACGCUGAUGCGUUGUUGGGUAGGGGAGCGUUCUGUAAGCCUGUGAAGGUGUGCUGUGAGGCAUGCUGGAGGUAUCAGAAGUGCGAAUGCUGACAUAAGUAACGAUAAAGCGGGUGAAAAGCCCGCUCGCCGGAAGACCAAGGGUUCCUGUCCAACGUUAAUCGGGGCAGGGUGAGUCGACCCCUAAGGCGAGGCCGAAAGGCGUAGUCGAUGGGAAACAGGUUAAUAUUCCUGUACUUGGUGUUACUGCGAAGGGGGGACGGAGAAGGCUAUGUU